rnacentral:pre_miRNA from 1 species
UCUCUUGUGUUAAGGUGCAUCUAGUGCAGUUAGUGAACCAGCUUAGAAUCUACUGCCCUAAAUGCCCCUUCUGGCACAGGCU